AGGGAAUAUUGGACAAUGGGCGAAAGCCUGAUCCAGCAAUACCACGUGGAUGAUGAAGGCGUUAUGCGUUGUAAAGUCCUUUUGUCGGGGAAGAUAAUGACGGUACCCGAAGAAUAAGUACCGACUAACUAUGUGCCAGCAGUCGCGGUAAUACAUAGGGUGCUAGCGUUGCUCGGAAUUACUGGGCGUAAAGAACAUGUAGGAGGAUUUUUAAGUCAAAUGUGCAAUCCCUGAGCUCAACUUAGGAACUGCAUUUGAUACUAUUGAUCUAGAGAUAAGUAGAGGACAACGGAAUUCUUAGUGGAGGGGUAAAAUCCGUAGAUAUUAAGAGGAACACCAGAGGCGAAAGCGGUUGUCUGGGCUUUUUCUGACUCUGAGAUGUGAAAGCGUGGGGAGCAAAC
rnacentral:rRNA from 1 species